rnacentral:rRNA from 1 species
AGAAUUUGAUCUUGGUUCAGGACGAACGCUGGCGGCGUGCUUAACACAUGCAAGUCGAGCGAUGAAGCUUCUUCGGGAGUGGAUUAGCGGCGGACGGGUGAGUAACACGUGGGUAACCUGCCUCAUAGAGGGGAAUAGCCUUUCGAAAGGAAGAUUAAUACCGCAUAAGAUUGUAGUACCGCAUGGUACAGCAAUUAAAGGAGUAAUCCGCUAUGAGAUGGACCCGCGUCGCAUUAGCUAGUUGGUGAGGUAACGGCUCACCAAGGCGACGAUGCGUAGCCGACCUGAGAGGGUGAUCGGCCACAUUGGGACUGAGACACGGCCCAGACUCCUACGGGAGGCAGCAGUGGGGAAUAUUGCACAAUGGGGGAAACCCUGAUUGCAGCAACGCCGCGUGAGUGAUGACGGCCUUCGGGUUGUAAAACUCUGUCUUUGGGGACGAUAAUGACGGUACCCAAGGAGGGAGCCACGGCUAACUACGUGCCAGCCGCAGC